rnacentral:tRNA from 1 species
GAGGGCAUAGUUCAGUGGAAGAGUGCAUGCUUAGCAUGCAUGACAUUGUGGGUUCAAUUCCCAGUACCUCCA